GAUUUCAACUGAAAAAGUCAUCAACAACAAAGUUGUAUAACUCAUCGAGAUCUAUAACUUUUAUUUUGGUCAUUUCUUCAUCCGAUAAAGUAAUAGUAACAUUGUUCAUAAAUUUACAUCUCUCAUUUGGUUUUAUAAACUAUAAAAGAGAUGUAAAUUUUGUGAACAAUAUUACUAUCACUUUAUCGGAUAAAGAAAUGACCAAAAUAAAAGUUAUAUGUCUUGAUGAGUUCUACAACUUUUAUGUUCAUAACUUUUUCAACUGAAGUU
rnacentral:pre_miRNA from 1 species